GAAGCAGCGUCUGAAGAGGAGAGUAAGGACAAGUAUCGACCACCCAAGUUGGCUGAGUACAGUGAUCACUACUACUCAACCAAUGCACCUCAUCCAGACCUGGUGAGAGCAUGUGAAGAUGACGAUGUGGAACAAGUACGACAAGCCGUGAACAGCGGCACUGCAACCGAACCUGUGAUUAGACCGGAUCUCAUGGAAGAAGUGCCAGAGUCAUACUUUCAAAAUGUCCUUCCCUAUAUGAGAAUUCCUAUGACCAUCAUGACUCUUCUGAUUCUGGCAGCAUGCUACUAUGGCAGCAUUCAUUGUGUCCAGUUUUUACUCUGGUGUGAUCCGUCGCUCUUGCACGGCAAAGUUAUGUUCAAUUACAACAAUUGGCACCGAGAGAGCUGCGGCCCAGUAUCACUUCUACAUGUCUGCGCGUUCCGUGGACAUAAAGCACUGUGUGAGCUGCUGAUAAAAAAUGGUGUCGACGUUAAUGUCCGAGAUCAGGUGAGCUUUGGAGGUGGAAUGCACCAAUCAAAUGUGCUUUGCAACAAACUCUUGUGAUAUCAAGUAUUUUUCAAGGACACCAAACCAUUUGUCCUCAUGUACUGAAUAUUGAUGUGCGCAUGGGUACAUAGUGCACGGCAUCAUGUAUGCCCGGGCUGUAGCUGCCACAUAUUUGACUGGUCCGGAGAGACAUUUUUAACUUAAAAUGAUAUGACCGAAUCAAGUUACUACAAUGUACCAGUACAUGUAGUGCACCUAUACAGGUUAUACAAUUACAUCGUCAGUUGAAAUGUUUUUGGCGAAGUCGCAGAUUCGUGAGUGAUCGUGGCACAGCGCCGCAUAUUAAACACAUUCCAAAAUCUGCUGACUCACCCUCAUAUCUUAGUGUGUCCAUUCGAAAAUCUCUAUGAAAUCAUUGGUAUAACCUCUAGAUGUAUACGAAUUCUCAUAACUUGGAGAAAGAUGAUUGACACGGUCUUGUGUGGAUUGAAUAAACGU